rnacentral:snoRNA from 1 species
UUGCACUGUUCGUAACCUUUUGACAGCAUUUUUCUGCAAAUAGGUUCCAUUCCAGUGCUACAUUAAAUCCAAUAAUGGAAGGCUGACAAGCUCCAUGUCCCUUCUGCGUUUGGAGACAAAG